GGGUUGUGAGGUUAAGCGACUAAGCGUACACGGUGGAUGCCCUGGCAGUCAGAGGCGAUGAAGGGCGUGCUAAUCUGCGAUAAGCGCCGGUAAGGUGAUAUGAACCGUUAUAACCGGCGAUACCCGAAUGGGGAAACCCAGUGUGACUCGUCACACUAUCAUUAACUGAAUCCAUAGGUUAAUGAGGCGAACCGGGGGAACUGAAACAUCUAAGUACCCCGAGGAAAAGAAAUCAACCGAGAUUCCCCCAGUAGCGGCGAGCGAACGGGGAGGAGCCCAGAGCCUGAAUCAGCAUGUGUGUUAGUGGAAGCGUCUGGAAAGGCGCGCGAUACAGGGGGUGACAGCCCCGUACACAAAAGCGCAUGUGCUGUGAGCUCGAUGAGUAGGGCGGGACACGUGGUAUCCUGUCUGAAUAUGGGGGGACCAUCCUCCAAGGCUAAAUACUCCUGACUGACCGAUAGUGAACCAGUACCGUGAGGGAAAGGCGAAAAGAACCCCGGCGAGGGGAGUGAAAAAGAACCUGAAACCGUGUACGUACAAGCAGUGGGAGCCCCACCACCAAAGCAUUCUCUGGUGUUGAAGGCCCUGCAAAGCAGCAUCGCGGUGGCGGAGCGUCGUUUGCGACGCCCAACACACAAAACAAGCGGUGAAUGCUUUGGGGUGGGGUGACUGCGUACCUUUUGUAUAAUGGGUCAGCGACUUAUAUUCUGUAGCAAGGUUAACCGAAUAGGGGAGCCGGAGGGAAACCGAGUCUUAAUUGGGCGUUAAGUUGCAGGGUAUAGACCCGAAACCCGGUGAUCUAGCCAUGGGCAGGUUGAAGGUUGGGUAACACUAACUGGAGGACCGAACCGACUAAUGUUGAAAAAUUAGCGGAUGACCUGUGGCUGGGGGUGAAAGGCCAAUCAAACCGGGAGAUAGCUGGUUCUCCCCGAAAGCUAUUUAGGUAGCGCCUCGUGAAUUCAUCUCCGGGGUAGAGCACUGUUUCGGCUAGGGGGCCAUCCCGGCUUACCAACCCGAUGCAAACUGCGAAUACCGGAGAAUGUUAUCACGGGAGACACACGGCGGGUGCUAACGUCCGUCGUGAAAGAGGGAAACAACCCAGACCGCCAGCUAAGGUCCCAACAAAGCGUAAUAGCUCACUGGUCGAGUCGGCCUGCGCGGAAGAUGUAACGGGGCUAAACCAUGCACCGAAGCUGCGGCAGCGAACGUAUCACCCAAGACAACUUUACGGAGUUGACGAUUGACGGAGCGAAGCGACGUCAAAGCGUUCAUUAAAGUCGAGUUGGCUUAGGGAUACGUUCACAAAGGGGAGCGCUCUGUAAGCCUGUGAAGGUGUGUCGUGAGGCAUGCUGGAGGUAUCAGAAGUGCGAAUGCUGACAUAAGUAACGAUAAAGCGGGUGAAAAGCCCGCUCGCCGGAAGACCAAGGGUUCCUGUCCAACGUUAAUCGGGGCAGGGUGAGUCGACCCCUAAGGCGAGGCCGAAAGGCGUAGUCGAUGGGAAACGGGUUAAUAUUCCCGUACUUGGUGUUACUGCGAAGGGGGGACGGAGAAGGCUAUGUUGGCCGGGCGACGGUUGUCCCGGUUUAAGCGUGUAGGUGUGUGUUCCAGGUAAAUCCGGUUCACUUUAACACUGAGGCGUGAUGACGAGGCACUACGGUGCUGAAGCAACAAAUGCCCUGCUUCCAGGAAAAGCCUCUAAGCAUCAGGUAACAUCAAAUCGUACCCCAAACCGACACAGGUGGUCAGGUAGAGAAUACCAAGGCGCUUGAGAGAACUCGGGUGAAGGAACUAGGGCAAAAUGGUGCCGUAACUUCGGGAGAAGGCACGCUGACACGUAGGUGAAGUGAUUUACUCACGGAGCUGAAGUCAGUCGAAGAUACCAGCUGGCUGCAACUGUUUAUUAAAAACACAGCACUGUGCAAACACGAAAGUGGACGUAUACGGUGUGACGCCUGCCCGGUGCCGGAAGGUUAAUUGAUGGGGUCAGCGCAAGCGAAGCUCCUGAUCGAAGCCCCGGUAAACGGCGGCCGUAACUAUAACGGUCCUAAGGUAGCGAAAUUCCUUGUCGGGUAAGUUCCGACCUGCACGAAUGGCGUAAUGAUGGCCAGGCUGUCUCCACCCGAGACUCAGUGAAAUUGAACUCGCUGUGAAGAUGCAGUGUACCCGCGGCAAGACGGAAAGACCCCGUGAACCUUUACUAUAGCUUGACACUGAACAUUGAGCCUUGAUGUGUAGAAAACGUUGGACGCAUUAAAAUUAAAAAAAAAAUCUGCAUGGAGCCGACCUUGAAAUACCACCCUUUAAUGUUUGAUGUUCUAACGUGGACCCGUAAUCCGGGUUGCGGACAGUGUCUGGUGGGUAGUUUGACUGGGGCGGUCUCCUCCUAAAGAGUAACGGAGGAGCACGAAGGUUGGCUAAUCAUGGUCGGACAUCAGGAGGUUAGUGCAAUGGCAUAAGCCAGCUUGACUGCGAGCGUGACGGCGCGAGCAGGUGCGAAAGCAGGUCAUAGUGAUCCGGUGGUUCUGAAUGGAAGGGCCAUCGCUCAACGGAUAAAAGGUACUCCGGGGAUAACAGGCUGAUACCGCCCAAGAGUUCAUAUCGACGGCGGUGUUUGGCACCUCGAUGUCGGCUCAUCACAUCCUGGGGCUGAAGUAGGUCCCAAGGGGGUAUGGCUGUUCGCCAUUUAAAGUGGUACGCGAGCUGGGUUUAGAACGUCGUGAGACAGUUCGGUCCCUAUCUGCCGUGGGCGCUGGAGAACUGGAGGGGGCUGCUUCUAGUACGAGAGGACCGGAGUGGACGCAUCACUGGUGUUCGGGUUGUCAUGCCAAUGGCACUGCCCGGUAGCUAAAUGCGGAAGAGAUAAGUGCUGAAAGCAUCUAAGCACGAAACUUGCCCCGAGAUGAGUUCUCCCUGAGACUUUAGGUCUCCUGAAGGAACGUUGAAGACGACGACGUUGAUAGGCCGGGUGUGUAAGCGCAGCGAUGCGUUGAGCUAACCGGUACUAAUGAACCGUGAGGCUUAACCUUACAACGCCGAAG
rnacentral:rRNA from 1 species